UACGAAGGGUGCAAGCGUUACUCGGAAUUACUGGGCGUAAAGCGUGCGUAGGUGGUUUGUUAAGUCUGAUGUGAAAGCCCUGGGCUCAACCUGGGAAUUGCAUUGGAUACUGGCAGUCUAGAGUGCGGUAGAGGGUAGCGGAAUUCCCGGUGUAGCAGUGAAAUGCGUAGAUAUCGGGAGGAACACCAGAGGCGAAGGCGGGUUACUGGGCUGAUACUGACGCUGAUGCGCGAAAGCUAGGGGAGCAAACGGG
rnacentral:rRNA from 1 species